CAGUCGCCGCGGGAAAACGAAGGGGGCUAGCGUUGCUCGGAAUUACUGGGCGUAAAGGGAGCGUAGGCGGAUCGUUUAGUCAGGGGUGAAAUCCCGGGGCUCAACCUCGGAACUGCCUUUGAUACUGGCGAUCUUGAGUAUGGGAGAGGUGUGUGGAACUCCGAGUGUAGAGGUGAAAUUCGUAGAUAUUCGGAAGAACACCAGUGGCGAAGGCGACACACUGGCCCAUUACUGACGCUGAGGCUCGAAAGCGUGGGGAGCAAACAGGAUUAGAUACCCCUGUAGUCCCUGUCUCUUAUAC
rnacentral:rRNA from 1 species